GGUUGACCUCGGAUCAGGUAGGGAUACCCGCUGAACUUAAGCAUAUCAAUAAGCGGAGGAAAAGAAACCAACAGGGAUUGCCUCAGUAACGGCGAGUGAAGCGGCAAGAGCUCAAAUUUGAAAGCUGGCCCCCUCGGGGUCCGCGUUGUAAUUUGCAGAGGAUGCUUCGGGUGCAGCCCCCGUCUAAGUGCCCUGGAACGGGCCGUCAUAGAGGGUGAGAAUCCCGUCU
rnacentral:rRNA from 2 species